GGUUAAGCGACUAAGCGUACACGGUGGAUGCCCUGGCAGUCAGAGGCGAUGAAGGACGUGCUAAUCUGCGAUAAGCGUCGGUAAGGUGAUAUGAACCGUUAUAACCGGCGAUUUCCGAAUGGGGAAACCCAGUGUGUUUCGACACACUAUCAUUAACUGAAUCCAUAGGUUAAUGAGGCGAACCGGGGGAACUGAAACAUCUAAGUACCCCGAGGAAAAGAAAUCAACCGAGAUUCCCCCAGUAGCGGCGAGCGAACGGGGAGCAGCCCAGAGCCUGAAUCAGUGUGUGUGUUAGUGGAAGCGUCUGGAAAGGCGCGCGAUACAGGGUGACAGCCCCGUACACAAAAAUGCACAUGCUGUGAGCUCGAUGAGUAGGGCGGGACACGUGGUAUCCUGUCUGAAUAUGGGGGGACCAUCCUCCAAGGCUAAAUACUCCUGACUGACCGAUAGUGAACCAGUACCGUGAGGGAAAGGCGAAAAGAACCCCGGCGAGGGGAGUGAAAAAGAACCUGAAACCGUGUACGUACAAGCAGUGGGAGCACGCUUCGGCGUGUGACUGCGUACCUUUUGUAUAAUGGGUCAGCGACUUAUAUUCUGUAGCAAGGUUAACCGAAUAGGGGAGCCGAAGGGAAACCGAGUCUUAACUGGGCGUUAAGUUGCAGGGUAUAGACCCGAAACCCGGUGAUCUAGCCAUGGGCAGGUUGAAGGUUGGGUAACACUAACUGGAGGACCGAACCGACUAAUGUUGAAAAAUUAGCGGAUGACUUGUGGCUGGGGGUGAAAGGCCAAUCAAACCGGGAGAUAGCUGGUUCUCCCCGAAAGCUAUUUAGGUAGCGCCUCGUGAAUUCAUCUCCGGGGGUAGAGCACUGUUUCGGCAAGGGGGUCAUCCCGACUUACCAACCCGAUGCAAACUGCGAAUACCGGAGAAUGUUAUCACGGGAGACACACGGCGGGUGCUAACGUCCGUCGUGAAGAGGGAAACAACCCAGACCGCCAGCUAAGGUCCCAAAGUCAUGGUUAAGUGGGAAACGAUGUGGGAAGGCCCAGACAGCCAGGAUGUUGGCUUAGAAGCAGCCAUCAUUUAAAGAAAGCGUAAUAGCUCACUGGUCGAGUCGGCCUGCGCGGAAGAUGUAACGGGGCUAAACCAUGCACCGAAGCUGCGGCAGCGACACUGUGUGUUGUUGGGUAGGGGAGCGUUCUGUAAGCCUGUGAAGGUGUGCUGUGAGGCAUGCUGGAGGUAUCAGAAGUGCGAAUGCUGACAUAAGUAACGAUAAAGCGGGUGAAAAGCCCGCUCGCCGGAAGACCAAGGGUUCCUGUCCAACGUUAAUCGGGGCAGGGUGAGUCGACCCCUAAGGCGAGGCCGAAAGGCGUAGUCGAUGGGAAACAGGUUAAUAUUCCUGUACUUGGUGUUACUGCGAAGGGGGGACGGAGAAGGCUAUGUUGGCCGGGCGACGGUUGUCCCGGUUUAAGCGUGUAGGCUGGUUUUCCAGGCAAAUCCGGAAAAUCAAGGCUGAGGCGUGAUGACGAGGCACUACGGUGCUGAAGCAACAAAUGCCCUGCUUCCAGGAAAAGCCUCUAAGCAUCAGGUAACAUCAAAUCGUACCCCAAACCGACACAGGUGGUCAGGUAGAGAAUACCAAGGCGCUUGAGAGAACUCGGGUGAAGGAACUAGGCAAAAUGGUGCCGUAACUUCGGGAGAAGGCACGCUGAUAUGUAGGUGAAGUCCCUCGCGGAUGGAGCUGAAAUCAGUCGAAGAUACCAGCUGGCUGCAACUGUUUAUUAAAAACACAGCACUGUGCAAACACGAAAGUGGACGUAUACGGUGUGACGCCUGCCCGGUGCCGGAAGGUUAAUUGAUGGGGUCAGCGCAAGCGAAGCUCUUGAUCGAAGCCCCGGUAAACGGCGGCCGUAACUAUAACGGUCCUAAGGUAGCGAAAUUCCUUGUCGGGUAAGUUCCGACCUGCACGAAUGGCGUAAUGAUGGCCAGGCUGUCUCCACCCGAGACUCAGUGAAAUUGAACUCGCUGUGAAGAUGCAGUGUACCCGCGGCAAGACGGAAAGACCCCGUGAACCUUUACUAUAGCUUGACACUGAACAUUGAGCCUUGAUGUGUAGGAUAGGUGGGAGGCUUUGAAGUGUGGACGCCAGUCUGCAUGGAGCCGACCUUGAAAUACCACCCUUUAAUGUUUGAUGUUCUAACGUUGACCCGUAAUCCGGGUUGCGGACAGUGUCUGGUGGGUAGUUUGACUGGGGCGGUCUCCUCCUAAAGAGUAACGGAGGAGCACGAAGGUUGGCUAAUCCUGGUCGGACAUCAGGAGGUUAGUGCAAUGGCAUAAGCCAGCUUGACUGCGAGCGUGACGGCGCGAGCAGGUGCGAAAGCAGGUCAUAGUGAUCCGGUGGUUCUGAAUGGAAGGGCCAUCGCUCAACGGAUAAAAGGUACUCCGGGGAUAACAGGCUGAUACCGCCCAAGAGUUCAUAUCGACGGCGGUGUUUGGCACCUCGAUGUCGGCUCAUCACAUCCUGGGGCUGAAGUAGGUCCCAAGGGUAUGGCUGUUCGCCAUUUAAAGUGGUACGCGAGCUGGGUUUAGAACGUCGUGAGACAGUUCGGUCCCUAUCUGCCGUGGGCGCUGGAGAACUGAGGGGGGCUGCUCCUAGUACGAGAGGACCGGAGUGGACGCAUCACUGGUGUUCGGGUUGUCAUGCCAAUGGCACUGCCCGGUAGCUAAAUGCGGAAGAGAUAAGUGCUGAAAGCAUCUAAGCACGAAACUUGCCCCGAGAUGAGUUCUCCCUGACCCUUUAAGGGUCCUGAAGGAACGUUGAAGACGACGACGUUGAUAGGCCGGAUGUGUAAGCGCAGCGAUGCGUUGAGCUAACCGGUACUAAUGAACCGUGAGGCUUAACCUU
rnacentral:rRNA from 1 species